UACGUAGGGUGCGAGCGUUAAUCGGAAUUACUGGGCGUAAAGCGUGCGCAGGCGGUUUUGUAAGUCUGUCGUGAAAUCCCCGGGCUCAACCUGGGAAUUGCGAUGGAGACUGCAAGGCUAGAAUCUGGCAGAGGGGGGUAGAAUUCCACGUGUGAGCAGUGAAAUGCGUAGAGAUGUGGAGGAACACCGAUGGCGAAGGCAGCCCCCUGGGUCAAGAUUGACGCUCAUGCACGAAAGCGUGGGGAGCAAACGAGGAUACGAAACCCCGUG
rnacentral:rRNA from 1 species